GUGCAAACAGCAUUUCUGACCUUCCCCUCACUGACCAACUCAGCAUUAUCAGCAAGCUCUGUCCUCUCCUGAUCCACCCAGCAAAAAAAGCAGUGGCAGACCUGAUCAGUCAAGAAAGUGGCUGCUUGUCCUUAAUAUCCACUUCACUCCAAACUUACUGAAGCACUGGAAACCUCAGAAGCAGCUAUUCCAGUUGCUCACAAUGUGCUCUUUGUUCCGUGCUUGGCUUAUCUUCGAGCACAAUGCAAUCUGAAGGAAGUACACCCACUCCCUGAUGUUUUCCUUGGGAGCCAGAAGUGUGUGUGCAGCGUUUUUUGGGGCAGUGAUUUUCUGCUACACACCUGUUACUACGGGACACGAAAUAAUACAGCAUGGACAUGCAGUUUUCUCAAGUUCGCUUUUAACGCCCAGCAACAGAGUGUGAGAGCUGCUGGUGCUCAGAGGCACAGAUUCCAUCUUAUCUGGGAGAAACAGCAGGAGGCAUCACACAAAAUUUUGAGUGUUAUGUGUCACUGGU